GAACUGACCUGUGAUGCCUCCCAUGGACCUCAGCCAGAGCCUGGAAGCCCUUCCUCCCUGCAAGUCCCUGUGGCCAGGAACCAGUGGAGAUCAGACCCUGCAGAUCCAGAUCCUGCCCAGGUCUCCACAGCCCAGUGACCCAUCAGUAUCAGCUUCCCCAGCAGCUGGGUCCAGUUUCUGCUCUUUCUCUGAGACUCAGAGACACUCUUGCUCAUGGACUGUCUGAUGGCCGACACCACAGAGCACACCUUCUACUACCAAGUCUCUACCAGUGAUAGGCCUGAUAAUUAGUGAACAAAUGGUCUGGGAGCUCCCCAUGUGCCCACAGGUGCAGGCUGAGAGAGGGACACGCACUACAGACCAAGUCAUCUGGGCCACUGCAUUGCAUACC